CCUACGGGAGGCAGCAGUGAGGAAUAUUGGUCAAUGGUCGGGAGACUGAACCAGCCAAGCCGCGUGAGGGAGGAAGGUACAGAGUAUCGUAAACCUCUUUUGUCAGGGAACAAAGACUGGGACGCGUCCCCGGAUGAGUGUACCUGAAGAAACAGCAUCGGCUAACUCCGUGCCAGCAGCCGCGGUAAUACGGAGGAUGCGAGCGUUAUCCGGAUUUAUUGGGUUUAAAGGGUGCGCAGGCGGUAUGUUAAGUCAGCGGUCAAAGCCCGGGGCUCAACCCCGGCCCGCCGUUGAAACUGGCAGUCUCGAGUUGGAGAGAAGUAUGCGGAAUGCGCGGUGUAGCGGUGAAAGGCAUAGAUAUCGCGCAGAACUCCGAUUGCGAAGGCAGCAUGCCGGCUCCACACUGACGCUGAGGCACGAAAGCGUGGGUAUCGAACAGGAUUAGAUACCCGUGUAGUC
rnacentral:rRNA from 1 species